rnacentral:rRNA from 1 species
UAGGGAAUCUUCCGCAAUGGGCGAAAGCCUGACGGAGCAACGCCGCGUGAGUGAUGAAGGUCUUCGGAUCGUAAAACUCUGUUAUUAGGGAAGAACAAAUGUGUAAGUAACUAUGCACGUCUUGACGGUACCUAAUCAGAAAGCCACGGCUAACUACGUGCCAGCAGCCGCGGUAAUACGUAGGUGGCAAGCGUUAUCCGGAAUUAUUGGGCGUAAAGCGCGCGUAGGCGGUUUUUUAAGUCUGAUGUGAAAGCCCACGGCUCAACCGUGGAGGGUCAUUGGAAACUGGAAAACUUGAGUGCAGUAGAGGAAAGUGGAAUUCCAUGUGUAGCGGUAAAAUGCGCAGAGAUAUGGAGGAACACCAGUGGCGAAGGCGACUUUCUGGUCUGUAACUGACGCUGAUGUGCGAAAGCGUGGGGAUCAAACAGG